ensembl:ncRNA AC3.15 ncRNA
UUGGAUGGUAGAAGAAUCAAUCGAAGAACCAACGGUCAAUUGACGGCCUCUGUUCGGUUUUUGAUAAAAACCGCCUUCAGAAUCAGCAGUAGAGCGCGAAAAUAAACCUCUUGGGUAUCACCCUACAGUCACAGACUACAUGUCUUC